GUUGUAUAAGUGGAAGACUCAGUACUGGCCUGGGCCUGGGGUGACGCCUGGGGCUGGGAAGAAGGGGUGUCUACCUUGCAACACCACACACAUCUCGACCCUGUCCCCGAGACACUGGGGUGGCGGGGGAGGGGCGAGGAUGUGGGGGCACAGCCAAAGUGGGAAUUAGAAGCAGAGACGUGGCUACGAGGGGGGGUGGGACCGUACUGCGGCGAGAAGGGACGGGGUGCAGGCUGGCGGGGGCCGCGGGGCAGGCUGCUGCUAGCAGCCUGCCCGCGCGGGGUUAUGCGAGGAAACACAGCCCAUCUGACUCACCGGGAGGGCUGCACGACCCCCUCGCAGGCUUAGCCCGGAGGCCGGGGCCGGGCUGGAAAGCGGGGAUGCUCUCCGGACAGACCGAACCUGGGCGCUGUGGCUGGGAAAUGGGUUAAUUUACAUAAAUAAAGUCACCUUAGGUCCAA